rnacentral:rRNA from 1 species
UACGUAGGGAGCAAGCGUUGUCCGGAAUCAUUGGGCGUAAAGCGCGCGUAGGUGGCCCCAUAAGUCCGCUGUGAAAGUCAAAGGCUCAACCUUUGAAAGCCGGUGGAUACUGUGGGACUAGAGUACGGAAGAGGCGAGUGGAAUUCCUGGUGUAGCGGUGGAAUGCGCAGAUAUCAGGAGGAACACCAAUGGCGAAGGCAGCUCGCUGGGACGUUACUGACACUGAGGCGCGAAAGCGUGGGGAGCGAACAGG